rnacentral:rRNA from 1 species
UACGGAGGGUGCAAACGUUGCUCGGAAUCAUUGGGCGUAAAGCGCACGUAGGUGGCUUGUUAAGUCGGGUGUGAAAUCCCUGGGCUCAACCCAGGAAGUGCACUCGAAACUGGCGAGCUUGAGUACUGAAGAGGGUCGCGGAAUUCCCGGUGUAGAGGCGAAAUUCGUAGAUAUCGGGAGGAACACCAGUGGCGAAGGCGGCGACCUGGGCAGAUACUGACACUGAGGUGCGAAAGCGUGGGGAGCAAACAGG